rnacentral:rRNA from 1 species
AGUGAACCGGGAAGAGCUCAAAUUUGAAAUCUGGCGUCCUCAGGGCGUCCGAGUUGUAAUCUAUAGAGGCGUUUUCCGUGCCGGACCGUGUCCAAGUUCCUUGGAACAGGAUAUCAAAGAGGGUGACAAUCCCGUACUUGACACGAUGACCGGUGCUCUGUGAUACGUCUUCUACGAGUCGAGUUGUUUGGGAAUGCAGCUCAAAAUGGGUGGUGAGUUCCAUCUAAAGCUAAAUAUUGGCGAGAGACCGAUAGCGAACAAGUACCGUGAGGGAAAGAUGAAAAGCACUUUGGAAAGAGAGUUAAACAGUACGUGAAAUUGUUGAAAGGGAAACGAUUGAAGUCAGUCGUGACUGAGAGGCUCAGCCGGUUCUGCCGGUGUAUUCCCCUCAGUCGGGUCAACAUCAGUUUUGUCCGGUGGAAAAGGGCGGUAGGAACGUGGCACCUCCGGGUGUGUUAUAGCCUGCCGUCGCAUACAUCGGGUGAGACUGAGGAAUGCAGCUCGCCUUUAUGGCCGGGGUUCGCCCACGUCCGAGCUUAGGAUGUUGACAUAAUGGCUUUAAACGACCCGUCUUG